AGUGAACGUUGGCGGCGUGGAUUAGGCAUGCAAGUCGAGCGAGAACCGUAGCAAUACGGGGACAGCGGCGAAAGGGACAGUAAUGUGUAGGUACCUACCCCGGGGUCUGGGAUAGCUGCGGGAAACUGCAGGUAAUACCGGAUAAUGUCUUCGGACCAAAGGUGUGAUUCCACCUUGGGAGGGGCCCGCAUCCUAUUAGCUUGUUGGCGGGGUAACGGCCCACCAAGGCAACGAUGGGUAGCGGGUGUGAGAGCACGACCCGCGUCAUUGGGACUGAGAUACUGCCCAGACACCUACGGGUGGCUGCAGUCGAGGAUCUUCGGCAAUGGGCGAAAGCCUGACCGAGCGACGCCGCGUGCGGGAUGAAGGCCUUCGGGUUGUAAACCGCUGUCGUAGGGGAGGAAGGUCUGGUGUAUAGCCAGGCUUGACCGAUCCUAGGAGGAAGGGCCGGCUAAUCUCGUGCCAGCCGCCGCCGUAA
rnacentral:rRNA from 1 species